AGUGAACGCUGGCGGUAGGCCUAACACAUGCCAGUCGAACGGCAGCACAGUAAGAGCUUGCUCUUACGGGUGGCGAGUGGCGGACGGGUGAGGAAUACAUCGGAAUCUACUUUUUCGUGGGGGAUAACGUAGGGAAACUUACGCUAAUACCGCAUACGACCUACGGGUGAAAGCAGGGGAUCUUCGGACCUUGCGCGAUUGAAUGAGCCGAUGUCGGAUUAGCUAGUUGGCGGGGUAAAGGCCCACCAAGGCGACGAUCCGUAGCUGGUCUGAGAGGAUGAUCAGCGACACUGGAACUGAGACACGGUCCAGACUCCUACGGGAGGCAGCAGUGGGGAAUAUUGGACAAUGGGCGCAAGCCUGAUCCAGCGAUACCGAGUGGGUGAAGAAGGCCUUCGGGUUGUAAAGCCCUUUUGUUGGGAAAGAAAAGCAGCAGGUUAAUACCCCGCUGUUCUGACGGUACCCAAAGAAUAAGCACCGGCUAACUUCGUG
rnacentral:rRNA from 1 species